AUACGUAGGGGGCAAGCGUUGUCCGGAAUUAUUGGGCGUAAAGCGCGCGCAGGCGGUCCCUUAAGUCUGAUGUGAAAUCUCGUGGCUCAACCGCGAGCGGUCAUUGGAAACUGGGGGACUUGAGUGUAGGAGAGGAAAGUGGAAUUCCACGUGUAGCGGUGAAAUGCGUAGAGAUGUGGAGGAACACCAGUGGCGAAGGCGACUUUCUGGCCUAUAACUGACGCUGAGGCGCGAAAGCGUGGGGAGCAAACAGGAUUAGAUACCCUGGUAGUCCACGCCGUAAACGAUGAGUGCUAGGUGUUAGGGGUUUCGAUACCCUGAGUGCCGGCGUUAACACAUUAAGCACUCCGCCUGGGGAGUACGGCCGCAAGGCUGAA
rnacentral:rRNA from 1 species